rnacentral:rRNA from 1 species
AUGGAAUCGGCGAACGAUACUCCAGAGCCGGUGGAGAAGGUGGAGACGGUGGCGGGGGAGGGGCAGGGAAGGGCGCGGGGGGAGACGCAGUCGGCGAACUUUACUCCAGCGCCGGCGGAGAAGGUGGAGACGGUGGCGGGGAAGGGGAAGGGGAAGCGGAAGAAGGGGAAGGGGAAGGGGACUAGGGGCGUCUUCUGCGGUCGAGGUAUCGAGUUGGGCAAUUGUGGACUGAUCUUGGUUCUUUUUGAGACGCAAUCUGGGUUUGCAAUUUUCACUUAUGAUGGUAUGAAUCUCCUCCUAGAUAAUGCAGUUGAGAAUAUCUGGGUAGAUUUCAUUGAGGGUUACUUGGCAAAAUCAGUUAGUACCCAUCCCUUUCCCCCUGUUUGAUUCACACCUUUCAGGUUUGCUAGUGUGAUAUAUUCUUUGAAUCGAAUAAAGAAAUAUUCACCCAUUUGGCCAUUGGCUCUGUUUGCCAUUACUAAUUCCACUUACUCGUGGCACAAUUUACCCCAGCGAGCUGUUUGGAAAGCAUGUGUGCUGUUAUUAUACUCAUGCAUAUCCCAAAACUACUUUUCUAAAGGGUGAGCAUGGGUGUCAAGAUAUAUCUAAAGAUCGAUUGACAUGUGCUCACUCACCAUUCCUGGCCUACUACGGAUGAUUGAGUCCUGGCAUGGUGAUGGGUACUACUACCAAGGAACAGCAAUACUGUCUUUUUUUUUAGAAUGCAUUGUGUUAGCUUAGUACAUUAACUUAUGCUGAGUUACACAGUAAUAACUGAGGAACUUGUUUACCACUGCCUUUAUUUCACUAGCUGUCUCAUCUCCCCUCGACAUGCUUUUCCAUUUUUUUUCGAGGGUCAACAUGCUAUUCCUUGUUUGUGUAUCAGAUGGUUUGGCUGAAAGAAUUUAAACGUCUUGAGAACGUGAGCAGCGCGAUCGACCCUGUUACCGGUGUUGACGAAGAUCUUGCUAUGACGAUCCGGAAAUACAUCGUUCCUGGGCAGCAACUAGCUGUUGGAAAGCCUGAAUAUAAAACCAUCAUUGAAGACAAGUUGGAAAUAUCCUGCCUGCAUGAUGAUGCGGUCAUGGAAUUGAUGUGGGGCCUUGGGAACUGCGUAGAGUAUCUAGUGCCUUCAGAAAAGUUGGAGCUGACUAUGGAGGGUCGCCUCCGUAUGAGUAAAGGAUUGAAAACUGUCCUGGAAAGUUAUGACUUACAAGUUGAACCAGAGAUGGUUAAUAAGCAUAUUAUUGAGACAGCAGGUGUUGUGUAUAGUUGUGACCAUUCUGUCAACAAACAUGGUAAGUCCUUGCGGGCUGCUGGUGAGCACCUUAAGAAGAUUUCAGACAUUGACUCGCAGGAUUGGUGUUUAAUUAAACUAGUGACUGCUCUCAAGUUAUUAUGUUACCCUACAGAGGAACUUCCUGGAAUUCCUCUUGAGGUUUUCUCAGCAGAGGAGUAUUCCAAGUUGGUGAAUGAUGGACCUAAAUACGAAGGUAAACUAUUGAAGGUGUCUUGCAAGACUGUCUUCAAAGAAAUGGUGUGGGCCCGUCGUCUGAGGAAUAGGAUGUUAAGACUCUUGGCCCAUUACGUGAGGGAGGCAAGAAAAGCAUAUGAAGAGGACCAAACUUUGAUGAGCAGCUGUGAGGGAGGCAAGAAAAGCAUAUGAAGAGGACCAAACUUUGAUGAGCAGCUGUGAGGGAGGGAAGAAAAGCAUCUGAUAAAAAGGCAUACUGGCCUACUCCCUCCGUCCGCCAAAGAGUGUGCAUCUGGCUCCAUGAUUUUCCCCAAAAUAAGUGUACGUUUGGCUCCACCGCAGGUAAUUUUGCAUUCACCCCCCUGAUCUACGCCUCGAGGUCACCACAACCAGCGACGACCCAAUCCUCUCGUUCUCCCCCAAAUCGAAGCCAGUCUUCUUCCUCUUCCCCCAACUCUCCCUCCCGAUCCAAUCCCAGAUCGCUGAGAGUCAAUCAUCCAAUCCAAAGCCAUUGCUGGUCAUGCAGAGAUUAAUGGCGGCCGGUCCAUAUAAGCUGCCGGUGUGCAUCGCAAUGGAUCCAUGGAAGGCGGCGGAGGAGCGGUAGGUGGAGGAGCAGAAUCCGGCGAUGUCCAGCCAGGCAAGGCCAUCGCGGCGGCCGGCGGCGUAACACGCGACUGCGGAGGAUCUGGUUCUGGAGGCCCCCACCGUGCUCGGGCAGUCAGGUUCCGACCGCGCUCGCCCUCGUACAUCCUUCGGCGGCGGCGGUAUGGUUGCGGAGCCAAACUCGUCGACUUGGACAAGGAUGUAGCAGCUGAUGGCGAAGCUGGUGUCGGGCAUGCAGGUACUCUUCUCCAUCGGCCUCAUGUUCAUCUUCUACCUCAAGAUACUAUGAUUAUUAGAGACAGUAUGCAGAAGGAUUGAACAAGAAGAAUUGAAUAGAUCAGCGAGUUGUACCUGGAUCCAUGUUUAGAUUGAAGUGACGUGUGGGCUGGAGCUCUUCAUGCACGGCUUCACCCUCUUCAUGUACGGCUUCAUCCUCUUCAUGUACAGCUUGCUCCUGAAAGAGAGCUUCAUCUUCUUCCUGUUAUCCUGUAUGGCUUCCACUCCCUCAUGCACGGCUUCGUCUCCCUCAUCUGGUGGUAGUAUAUUCAAGUCAAUGGCCAUGGAUGGGGUGUGUGUGUGUGUGGUGUAUUCUUUGGUAAAUGUGAGCUGGCUUUGUAGCUGUGUUAGGCGUUUGGAUUCCAAUUUUUGGCGCCUGUAAUCUGGCUUACUAGUAUUGAAACUGGCGGGAACAGUGUACUGGAGUAACUGGCUGAAGCUAAAUUAGCUAGCGGGAGGAGGAAUUGUAUUUUGCUUGUGAUUUAAUGAGACAUGUGUAUUAACUGUGUACAAGAAUCGAAGCACCACCACCGCUGCCAGUUGCUUAAAUGAGGGGAGGGAG